rnacentral:lncRNA from 1 species
UUUACAAAUAAGUCAACAUGACCGAAAUGGUCAAUUGACCCCCUUAGGAGUUAUUGUUCUUUAUAGUCAAUUUUUAACAAUUUUCAUAAAAUUUGUAAAUUUUUACUAACAUUUUCCACUGAAACUAUGGGCCAAGUUCAUUAUAGAUAGAGAUAAUUUUAAGCAGCAAGAAUGUUCAGUAAAGUAAGAUGUACAAACACAUCACCAUCACCAAAACACAAUUUUGUCAUGAAUCCAUCUGCUUCCUUUAAUAUUCACAUAGACCAAGGUGAGCGACACAGGCUCUUUAGAGCCUCUAGUUUUGGUUGCCUAUAAUUGCUUACAAUCACUUCUUAUAAACUUUCAUGGAUAGCUGUCUCAUUGGCAAUCAUACCACAUCUCAGUUUUUUCAUAUUAGACAUGAAAAUGUAUUUCAACUUUUAUAUUCAUAUAAAAUUGAGAAUGGAAAUGGGGAAGGUGUCAAAGAGACAAC